AUGGCGCGCAAUGGCGGCGUCCCCGCUCCCUCUCUCGCCCUCGCUGCCGCCGCCGUCUGCCUCCUCUGCUGCCUCGCCGCCGGCGCCUCCGCGGCCUACUCCGUGCCGGCCGACCCCAGGCGGCAACCUUCGCCUGGCCCUGGAGGCGGAGGCUACUACCACGGCCCUGCACCUGCGGCGUCCCCGCGCCACCACCACCACCGUCAGCACGGCGUCUCGCCGGCACCGGCGCCGCACCACGCUCCGUCACCGACCGCGGGGUCAGACGGCCUGCCAACGUCUCGCCCGCCGGCCCCGGUCUACACGCGCGCCCCGGAGCCGCAGGCGACCACCACGCCGCACUUCGGGUUCCCGCUGGAGCCGACGGUGGGCGUCACCGCGGGCGGCCCGUCCGGAGCACUGCCGAAAAAGGGGGCCGGCAGCGAGGGGUACCCGUUCAUCGGCAGCAACCCCACGGUGCCGCUGCCCACCGGCGUCACCGACACCGCCACCGUGCGCCCGCUCCCGGACACGACCCGCGCCGACGACAACGCCAAGGUGGCCGGGCGUGCCGCCGAGCCCGUGCGAGCCGGGGCCGCCAUGAUUGGCGUCCUGAUGGCCGUCCUCUCCACUGUUGCCCUGUUGCUGUCCUCCUGGAGCUAG
rnacentral:rRNA from 1 species